CCAGACUCCUACGGGAGGCAGCAGUGGGGAAUAUUGCACAAUGGGGGAAACCCUGAUGCAGCGACGCCGCGUGAGUGAAGAAGUAUUUCGGUAUGUAAAGCUCUAUCAGCAGGGAAGAAAAUGACGGUACCUGACUAAGAAGCCCCAGCUGACUACGUGCCAGCAGCCGCGGUAAUACGUAGGGGGCAAGCGUUAUCCGGAUUUACUGGGUGUAAAGGGAGCGUAGACGGCGCUGCAAGUCCGGAGUGAAAGCCCAUGGCUUAACCAUGGUACUGCUCUGGAAACUGUACGGCUGGAGUGCAGGAGAGGUAAGUGGAAUUCCUAGUGUAGCGGUGAAAUGCGUAGAUAUUAGGAGGAACACCAGUGGCGAAGGCGGCUUACUGGACUGUAACUGACGUUGAGGCUCGAAAGCGUGGGGAGCAAACAGGAUUAGAUACCCGCGUACAU
rnacentral:rRNA from 1 species